GACGAACGCUGGCGGCGUGCUUAACACAUGCAAGUCGAACGAUGAAGCGGUGCUUGCACCGUGGAUUAGUGGCGAACGGGUGAGUAAUACGUGAGUGACCUACCUUUGACUCUGGGAUAAGCCUGGGAAACUGGGUCUAAUACCGGAUACGACCAAUCUCUGCAUGGGGUGUUGGUGGAAAGCGUUAUGGAGUGGUUUUAGAUGGGCUCACGGCCUAUCAGCUUGUUGGUGAGGUAAUGGCUUACCAAGGCGACGACGGGUAGCCGGCCUGAGAGGGUGACCGGGCACCACGGGGGGGGAGCCCGGCCCGGGCCCCCGGGGGGGGGAGGGGGGGGGAAAUAUGGAAAAAGGGGAGAAGCCCGGAGCCAGCGGCCCGGGGGGGGGAAGGGGGCCUUGGGGUUGGAAACCUUUGUUGAGCAGCGAAAAACGAAAGGGGAGGGGGGGUGAAAAGAGGCCGCGGCCAAACUCGGUC
rnacentral:rRNA from 1 species